rnacentral:rRNA from 1 species
AACGAACGCUGGCGGCAGGCCUAAAACAUGCAAGUCGAACGCUCUAGCAAUAGAGAGUGGCGCACGGGUGCGUAACAUGUGGGAAUAUGCCUUUUGGUACGGAACAACUUUUGGAAACGAAAGCUAAUACCGCAUGGUCCCUUCGGGGUAAAGAUUUAUCGCCAAAAGAGUAGCCCGCACUGGAUUAGCUAGUUGGUGAGGUAAUGGCUCACCAAGGCGACGAUCCAUAGCUGGUCUGAGAGGACGAUCAGCCACACUGGGACUGAGACACGGCCCAGACUCCUACGGGAGGCAGCAGUUAGGAAUCUUGGACAAUGGGCGCAAGCCUGAUCCAGCCAUGCCGCGUGAGUGAUGAAGGCCUUCGGGUUGUAAAGCUCUUUAGUCCACGAAUAUAAUGACUGUAGUGGAAGAAUAAGCCCCGGCUAACUUCGUGCCAGCAGCCGCGGUAAUACGAAGGGGGCGAGCGUUGUUCGGAAUCACUGGGCGUAAAGAGUGCGUAGGCGGUUAUGAAAGUUAGAAGUGAAAGCCCAGGGCUCAACCUGGAAUUGCU